GACAGAGGAUGCAAGCGUUAUCCGGAAUGAUUGGGCGUAAAGCGUCUGUAGGUGGCUUUUUAAGUCUGCCGUCAAAUCCCAGGGCUUAACCCUGGACAGGCGGUGGAAACUACCAAGCUGGAGUACGGUAGGGCAGAGGGAAUUUCCGGUGGAGCGGUGAAAUGCGUAGAGAUCGGAAAGAACACCAACGGCGAAAGGCACUCUGCUGGGCCGACACUGACACUGAGAGACGAAAGCUAGGGGAGCAAAUGGGG
rnacentral:rRNA from 1 species